rnacentral:rRNA from 1 species
GAUGAACGCUGGCGGCGUGCCUAAUACAUGCAAGUCGAGCGAACAGACGAGGAGCUUGCUCCUCUGACGUUAGCGGCGGACGGGUGAGUAACACGUGGAUAACCUACCUAUAAGACUGGGAUAACUUCGGGAAACCGGAGCUAAUACCGGAUAAUAUAUUGAACCGCAUGGUUCAAUAGUGAAAGACGGUUUUGCUGUCACUUAUAGAUGGAUCCGCGCCGCAUUGGCUAGUUGGUAAGGUAACGGCUUACCAAGGCAACGAUGCGUAGCCGACCUGAGAGGGUGAUCGGCCACACUGGAACUGAGACACGGUCCAGACUCCUACGGGAGGCAGCAGUAGGGAAUCUUCCGCAAUGGGCGAAAGCUUGACGGAGCAACGCCGCGUGAGUGAUGAAGGUCUUCGGAUCGUAAAACUCUGUUAUUAGGGAAGAACAAAUGUGUAAGUAACUAUGCACGUCUUGACGGUACCUAAUCAGAAAGCCACGGCUAACUACGUG